GAUCCUGGCUCAGAUUGAACGCUGGCGGCAGGCUUAACACAUGCAAGUCGAGCGGAAACGAUGAUAGCUUGCUAUCAGGCGUCGAGCGGCGGACGGGUGAGUAAUACUUAGGAAUCUACCUAGUAGUGGGGGAUAGCACGGGGAAACUCGUAUUAAUACCGCAUACGACCUACGGGAGAAAGGGGGCAGUUUACUGCUCUCGCUAUUAGAUGAGCCUAAGUCGGAUUAGCUAGAUGGUGGGGUAAAGG
rnacentral:rRNA from 1 species